rnacentral:lncRNA from 1 species
CAUUCCCCCUCCUUGUCACCACCCUCCUAAAUUAAAACUUCGGCUGCAGCCCCACUAUCGGAGGUUGGCUGCACUUGCUGCACAUGUAUGAGAGCAUGAGAAUUAAAGCAGGCACUGCAAAGACAGUGCUGACACAUACACACCCAACUCCUCCAACCAGCCCCAGCCACACUUCCUAGCAUGUAGUGUUAUCAUCAUGACAUGGCUAAAGAUCCCACAACGAAACACACAACCGUGGCACAGAUGUGCCCCACCACUACCUGCCUACAUCAAACAAAUCUGCCGUACUCCGAUAGCCAUAUCGGAAUACGACAGCGUUUUGAUGCCCCACGUAAAACACACAAGAGCCCCGACCCUUACCCCCAUCUUACCUCCAUUCCCGGCUGGACGUCGGCCCCAUCUUCCGAGGCCUGCUGCACGUGCAGCACGUGGAUGGGAACAUGAGAAUUAGGGCAGGCACGUCAAUUAGGGCAGGCACGUCAAUUAGGGCAGGCACGUUAAUUAGGGCAGGCACGUCAAUUAGGGCAGGCACGUCAAUGACGGAGUCGAAACAUACACACACCCCUCCCCCAACCAGCCCCAGCCACCCUCCAUAGCAUCAGGAACAAGAAAGAGGGCAAGGGGUAACGAAUCCACAAAGAAAA